UCCAGGCUCAAAGCGUCAGUCCACCAGCUGAACUCUCAGUCAGACUGGUGGAUGGGACCACUUCCUGUUCUGGGACAGUGGAAGUCUUCUAUGAAGGAGAGUGGUUGGGUCUAUGUUCUGGGUGCUGGAGCAUAAUGAGAGAGGUCAAAAUUUUGUGUAGAGAGCUGAACUGUGGAGAUGUUGUAGCUGAAUCUAUAGGACCUCAGUUUGAAACGGGAAGAGGAAUAGUCACAAUAUAUAGUAUGUGUAGUGGACAUGAGUCUUCUGUUGGACAGUGUGUCAUCACAGGAGCACCUGGUGUCUGUGAUGGUGGAUAUUAUCAUCAUGUGACCUGUUCAGAGUCUGUGCGGCUUGUGGGUAGAGCUGGUCUCUGCUCUGGGAGAGUGGAGGUGAAGUCCAAUCAGUCCUGGGCCUCAGUGUGUGAAGCUGACUUUGACCGGCAGGAUGCAGAGGUAGUCUGUAGG